rnacentral:lncRNA from 1 species
GUGCGAUGAGAUCAUCCUGGAUCGGAGUCAGGAAAAUCCACUGCAGGAAGUUUAAUGGGUGUUAACCUUGUCUGAGUGCCCUGCAAUUACCCGCUUCUAGUCUGUGGCAGGUUCGCCAGGGUAUGAGCGUUCCUUGCCCUGGCUCCUGACCAGCACAUUCCGGACGGCUCUAUUCGCAGCUCCGGAGUGACACGGCCCAGACACACUUGCGGUCCCUCCCUGACUUGCAGGAGCUGGGGGCUUCGUGAUUCUGCCAAACAACUGGGAAGUGACACCCCAGACAGCAGCAUCCCACGGCUGUUGUGAGCAGUUACAAUUGAGUGAUGCCCAAGCAGG